rnacentral:rRNA from 1 species
UUAAGUGACUAAGCGUAUACGGUGGAUGCCUUGGCAGUUAGAGGCGAUGAAGGACGUGUAAGUCUGCGAAAAGCUGUGGUGAGCCGACAAAAUGCAUUUGAGCCACAGAUGUCCGAAUGGGGAAACCCACCUAUUUAUAGGUAUCGUUACAUGAAUAUAUAGUGUAACGAGGCGAACGAGGGGAACUGAAACAUCUAAGUACCCUUAGGAAAAGAAAUCAACCGAGAUUCCCCUAGUAGCGGCGAGCGAACGGGGAUUAGCCCUUAAGCAAUUUUGGAUUUAGUGGAAGCCUCUGGGAAGUGGCGCGAUACAGGGUGAUAGCCCCGUACACGAAGAAACCAUUGUUGUGAAAUCGAGUAGGUCGGGACACGUGUUAUCUUGACUGAAUAUGGGGGGACCAUCCUCCAAGGCUAAAUACUCCUAACUGACCGAUAGUGAACCAGUACCGUGAGGGAAAGGCGAAAAGAACCCCUGUGAGGGGAGUGAAAUAGAACCUGAAACCGUAUACGUACAAGCAGUGGGAGCGUGACUGCGUACCUUUUGUAUAAUGGGUCAGCGACUUAUAUUUAGUAGCAAGGUUAAGCGAAUAGCGGAGCCGUAGCGAAAGCGAGUGUUAACUGCGCGUUUAGUUGCUAGGUAUAGACCCGAAACCCGGUGAUCUAGCCAUGGGCAGGUUGAAGGUUGAGUAACAUCAACUGGAGGACCGAACCCACUAACGUUGAAAAGUUAGGGGAUGACUUGUGGCUGGGGGUGAAAGGCCAAUCAAACCGGGAGAUAGCUGGUUCUCCCCGAAAUCUAUUUAGGUAGAGCCUCGGACGAAUUCCAUUGGGGGUAGAGCACUGUUAAGGCUAGGGGGUCAUCCCGACUUACCAACCCUUUGCAAACUCCGAAUACCAAUGAGAACUAUCCGGGAGACACACGGCGGGUGCUAACGUCCGUCGUGAAGAGGGAAACAACCCAGACCGCCAGCUAAGGUCCCAAAAUAUUGCUAAGUGGGAAACGAUGUGGGAAGGCAUAGACAGCUAGGAGGUUGGCUUAGAAGCAGCCACCCUUUAAAGAAAGCGUAAUAGCUCACUAGUCGAGUCGGCCUGCGCGGAAGAUGUAACGGGGCUAAGCAAUAUACCGAAGCUGCGGAUACGUGUUUACACGUAUGGUAGGGGAGCGUUGUGUAAGUGGAUGAAGGUGGAUUGAGAAGUCUGCUGGACAUAUCACAAGUGCGAAUGCUGACAUGAGUAACGAUAAUGGGAGUGAAAAACUCCCACGCCGGAAGACCAAGGUUUCCUGUCCCAUGCUAAUCAGGGCAGGGUAAGUCGGCCCCUAAGGCGAGGCAGAAAUGCGUAGUCGAUGGGAAACGGAUUAAUAUUUCCGUACUUAUAUAAUCAGUGAUGGAGGGACGGAGAAGGCUAAGCAAGCUUGGCGUUGGUUGUCCAAGUGAAAGCAAGUAGGCCGAGAAUUUAGGUAAAUCCGGAUUCUUAAAGCUGAGAUGCGAGACGAGCUACUACGGUAGUGAAGUUGUUGAUGCCCUGCUUCCAGGAAAAGCUUCUAAACUUAUGAUUAUAUGAACCGUACCCCAAACCGACACAGGUGGUCAGGUAGAGAAUACUAAGGCGCUUGAGAGAACUCGGGUGAAGGAACUCGGCAAAAUUGUACCGUAACUUCGGGAGAAGGUACGCCCUUGUUUGUGAUAGGACUUGCUCCUUGAGCAGAUGAGGGCCGCAGUGACCAGGUGGCUGGGACUGUUUAUUAAAAACACAGCACUCUGCUAACUCGCAAGAGGACGUAUAGGGUGUGACACCUGCCCGGUGCCGGAAGGUUAAUUGAUGGGGUUAUCUUCGGAGAAGCUCUUGAUCGAAGCCCCGGUAAACGGCGGCCGUAACUAUAACGGUCCUAAGGUAGCGAAAUUCCUUGUCGGGUAAGUUCCGACCUGCACGAAUGGUGUAACCAUGGCCACGCUGUCUCCACCCGAGACUCAGUGAAAUUGAAAUCGCAGUGAAGAUGCUGUGUACCCGCACCUAGACGGAAAGACCCCGUGAACCUUUACUACAGCUUGGCACUGAACAUUGAACCUACAUGUGUAGGAUAGGUGGGAGGCUUCGAAGCACAGUCGCUAGAUUGUGUGGAGCCGUCCUUGAAAUACCACCCUUGUACGUUUGAUGUUCUAACAUUGGUCCCUUAUCGGGAUUAUGGACAGUGUCUGGUGGGUAGUUUGACUGGGGCGGUCUCCUCCCAAAUAGUAACGGAGGAGCACGAAGGUUAGCUAAUCACGGUCGGACAUCGUGAGGUUAGUGCAAUGGCAUAAGCUAGCUUAACUGCGAGACAGACACGUCGAGCAGGUACGAAAGUAGGUCAUAGUGAUCCGGUGGUUCUGUAUGGAAGGGCCAUCGCUCAACGGAUAAAAGGUACUCCGGGGAUAACAGGCUGAUACCGCCCAAGAGUUCAUAUCGACGGCGGUGUUUGGCACCUCGAUGUCGGCUCAUCACAUCCUGGGGCUGAAGUCGGUCCCAAGGGUAUGGCUGUUCGCCAUUUAAAGUGGUACGCGAGCUGGGUUUAGAACGUCGUGAGACAGUUCGGUCCCUAUCUGGUGUGGGCGUUGGAUGAUUGAUGGGAGCUGCUCCUAGUACGAGAGGACCGGAGUGGACGAACCGCUGGUGUUCGGGUUGUCAUGCCAAUGGCAUUGCCCGGUAGCUACGUUCGGAACGGAUAACCGCUGAAAGCAUCUAAGCGGGAAGCCGGCCCAGAGAUGAGUCAUCCCUGACUUUUAAAGUCCGGAAGGGUUGUUAUAGACGAUGACGUUGAUAGGCAGGAUGUGGAAGCGUUGUAAGGCGUUAAGCUAACCUGUACUAAUUGCCCGAGAGGCUUAACCAU